UUUAAGGUCUAACCUGCCCAAUGAGGAUUUAAAUGGCCGCAGUAUUUUGACUGUGCAAAGGUAGCAUAAUUAUUAGUUUUUUAAUUGAAAGCUUGUAUGAAGGGUUGGACGAGAUAAAAUCUGUCUUUAUUUAAAUUAGAGUAUAACUUAACUUUUAAGUCAAAAGGCUUAAAUGUUUAUAAAAGACGAGAAGACCCUAUAGAUCUUUAUUUAUUUAAGAUUUUAAUAAUUUAGGAUUAUUUUAAUUUGAAGUUUUAAAUAAAUUUUAUUGGGGUAAUAUAAAGAUUAAAUAAAUUCUUUUUAUUUAUUACAUUGAUUUAUGAAUAUAUGAUCCAUUAAUACUGAUUAUAAGAUUAAGUUACCUUAGGGAUAACAGCGUAAUUUUUUUGGAGAGCUCAUAUCGAUAAGAAAGUUUGCGACCUCGAUGUUGGAUUAAAAAUUAGCUUGGGUGCAGAAGCUCAAGAUUUUGGUCUGUUCGACCAUUAAAUUUUUACAUGAUCUGAGUUCAGACCGGCGUAAGCCAGGUCGGUUUCUAUCUUUAUUUAAAUAAAAUGUUUUAGUACGAAAGGACCAAAUGUUUAAUAUAGUUAUAUUUAUUUUU
rnacentral:rRNA from 1 species